rnacentral:lncRNA from 1 species
UGGGAUUCCGCUGGAUUUGUUUUAGACGGCUAGUUUUAAAAGUCUUUAUUUAUUUCUUAAACUUUAUGCCCAGUCAAACAACUUCACAUAAAUUGAGACAGAGAGUAUAUUUAUCUGCUCAUGUGGAGCACUACAUUCUGCCAAUGACUCAUAUUUUCAACUUAUAUGUGGUCCAAUUUCAAGGGGCAUAUGAUAUGUCUUUUUCCUUGAAGUAAGUUCAUAACAGAAUUGAAAAACUAGUUUAUCCAAAAACCUAUAUUUAUCUGUUCAUGUGGAACACUACAUUCUGCCUUUUCAUGUGCUUUGCUGGUUGCUUUGCUAUCCUCUUUUUCUUCUCCUGAUUGUUGCAACAACUAAGCUUUUGGAAUUGGAUAGAUGGUGGAACUUUCUCUUGCCAUUGGUGAGUGCAGGCUGUUGUCUUACCAUUUUCUAUACCAUAAAGAAAAUACAUAAGAGUACAUCAAAGCUUAUAUAGGAAAUAUUGGAACACAUUAUUUAUCUGUUGUAUGGGCAGGAAAACUGGUUCUCCACCAUUUCUCUUUUCUGUAACAUCUGUGCUCCAUGCCAGGAACUCUGUUUAGUAUUGCUUUUCCUCUACCUUUAAUAAGUGAGUGUGGGGUGUAAUCUUGUUUAUUCUUAAUUUAAUACUUUCAAGUUUGACAAAUAUUGCAUGUAAUAGGUACAACAAGGUGAUGUUGGUGGAAGAAAUGAAGUUGUGCAAUCCAAUAUAAAAAGGACAGACAUGUGCAACGGCAUGCUGAAACAAAUGAGAUCUCAAAAACAACAUUGUUCAGAAGGCUGUUAUAACCUCUUCACUGCUUUCUCAUUGAAAUAUCUCAAGAGCUUGGAUGUGUGUGGGCUUAUCGCAUUUCAAAUCUUAGAUAGAAAGAAAGAGGUCGUGUUGUUCUGAAAUGGAGAAAUAUUCAUACUACAGCAGAGCUAUGAUUUUCUCCUUAAUACUUCUGGAAAAUAUAUGCUGCAGUAGCUGAAUGGGUCGAGGAAUGUGUUUGAUUUGCUCAUUCGCAGUUCUUAACAUGAGGGUAAAUUGUUCAUGAACACGUUUGUAAGUAACUAUGUUUUGUAACAGGUCAUUUUCCUGUAUACGUAUUAAAGUAUUCAAUUGAAUUUUUGGAGAAGUUAAGGUUCAAUAGUUCUUUUUAACUCUCUGCAUUUCUCCAUGCCCCUUUUUUAUCACCCCUUGAGCUUUCCUUUCUUGAUAAGCAGUAAAAGUGAAAGGAGAUAUGAAUCUACAGCUUAAAAAUCAUAUUAAUUGUCAUGGCUGGAAGAUUUAUAAAUUGGUUUUUCUAUUUGUCCUUUUUUGGGGUUAUUAUGUUCUUAACGGACAUGGAGACCUGCAGGAGAAAUGAAUCAGGGUGAUGCAGUACAGUUGUGGCUGCUCAGGUUCUUUGCUUGACAACAAAGGGAGUACUUGGUUUGCAUACCAAAAACCUACUUAUAUAGAUUUUGUAAAGUUUUUGCCUUAAAUUUUUAGCAAAAUCAAGGCUUCCUGAUGCCUCCUUUUAUCUCUAUUCUCCAUUGGUAAUCAUGAAAUGAAGUUGCAAUGCAUGUAAUGGAACUUUUGAUGCCAGCAAAUUGAAUUCAAUUUACUGCCUACACUUUCUUGAUCGCAAUCACGGGAUAUCUUUGCUGCAUUUUUUUCUCGUCCAUUAUUCAAAUCUUCAUAUUGCACAAGUGUAACUGAAUUAUAAAGCUGAGAACAUUCUAAGGUUGGGACUCAGUCCACAAUUUGAAUUGAGG